GUGAGUUGUGAAAGUUGGCGGCCCAACGGGAAAAUCGCAGUUGAUACUGGCUUCCUUGAGUGCGGCAGAGGCAGGCGGAAUUCGUGGUGUAGCGGUGAAAUGCUUAGAUAUCACGAAGAACCCCGAUUGCGAAGGCAGCCUGCUGGACCGUAACUGACGCUGAUGCUCGAAAGUGCGGGUAUCA
rnacentral:rRNA from 1 species